GUUCUGCAGCUGAAGAGGUUCCAGGUGUCUUCAGGUUUUACUUUGUCAAAGCAGCUUAAUAGGGUCCACUGAGUUACAGCUGACCCUACCAGUGCAGAGAAUUCCUGAAGACCACACCCACAAAGAGCCCAAACCCCCUGAUCCUCUGGGUCGACUCGCAGCUCCAGAUGGGUGAAUCUAUAUUCAGAUAUAGAUUAGUCAGCGUGUUGAACCAUAUUGGACGCAGUGUACACGCUGGACAUUAUGUGAGUGACUGCUCCAGUCCGCCGGACUCCUGGUGGCUGUUGUAUGAUGAUGAGAGCGUCACCAUGAAGACGGAGGAUCGUGUUCUGAAACAGAGGCAGCGCAGUGGUUAUGUGUUGUUCUAUGAGAUGAAGUGAACUCUGUGUGAUGCAUAACCUGCUUUCUUCCCUCAGCUCCACAGCUCCUGCAGCCAGUCUCUGAGCCCUGGAGAGCACACACACUCUCUCAGCUCUAAUCACUGAUUGACAUCUCCAGGCUCCGCCCACAGAUGUGUUCUACAAUAGCAACUGUUAGAAAGCCGGUCAAGCUUUACAGAACGCUGGCAAGAAUCCAUGGGCGCCAACUAGAGUUGAACAUUGAGGGGCAGAAAUGCUGAAAUCAGAUGACAGACCUUUAAUGAG